AGAGUUUGAUCAUGGCUCAGAUUGAACGCUGGCGGCAUGGUUAAAGCAUGCAAGUCGAACGGGCCCGCAAGGGCCAGUGGCGAAAGGGUGAGUAAUACGAUCGAACGUGCCCCGAGGUGGGGGAUAGGCGUGGGAAACUGCGCGUAAGACCCCAUGAUGUCUACGGACCAAAGGCUUGCCGCCUUGGGAUCAGCGAUCGUCCUAUCAGGUAGUUGGUGAGGUAACGGCUCACCAAGCCAAUGACGGGUAGCAGGUGUGAGAGCACGGCCUGCCACAUCGGGACUGAGACACUGCCCGGACUCCUACGGGAGGCUGCAGCGACGAAUCUUCCGCAAUGGGCGAAAGCCUGACGGAGCGAUGCCGCGUGUGGGAUGAAGCGGCUUUGCCGUGUAAACCACUGUCAGGAGAUAGAAACACUGAUCAUCUCCAGAGGAAGGGGCGACUAACUCUGUGCCAGCAGUCGCGGUAAUACAGAGGCCCCGAGCGUUAAUCGGAAUCACUGGGCUUAAAGGGUGCGUAGGCGGACUCGUAAGUGUCGUGUGAAAGCCCACUGCUUAACGGUGGAACCGCACGGCAAACUGCAAGUCUCGAGGAAUGGUAGAGGCCGGUAGAACGAUUGGUGGAGCGGUGGAAUGCGUAGAUAUCAAUCG
rnacentral:rRNA from 1 species